rnacentral:rRNA from 1 species
CACGUAGGCACCAAGCGUUAUCCGGAUUUAUUGGGCGUAAAGAGCUCGUAGGCGGUUCGGUAAGUCGGGUGUGAAAACUCUGGGCUCAACCCAGAGAGGCCACCCGAUACUGCUGUGACUAGAGUGCGGUAGGGGGGCGGGGAAUUCCUGGUGUAGCGGUGAAAUGCGCAGAUAUCGGGAGGAACACCUGCGGUGUAGACGGCUUACUGGACCAUAACUGACGCUGAGGCACGAAAGCGUGGGUAGCAAACAGG